UUUAUUAUCCCUAACUUUUGCCCGAACCUUUCUCUUUUUUUUUUUGGUUCGCCGGGAUGCCCAUUUUUGCCUGGACUCUUUAUUCUUUUUGUCCAGCGGGUCUCUUUUACGAAGUAUUUUCUAACUGCGUCCGCACUCAUAGUGGAUGGAAAAUCGUCGUCAUCCGUGGUCGUAGACAACAAGGUUCUGGUCUGAGAAAACCUUCUUGACCACGGAUGAGAC
rnacentral:lncRNA from 1 species